UUUUCCCCUUUGCCUUUCAGUUCUCUUCUUUUUUCAGCUAUUUGUAAGGCUUCCCCAGACAACCAUUUUGCCUUCUGAAUUUCUUUUUCUUGGGGAUGAUUUUGACCACCACCUGCUGUGAAAUAUUACUUUCCAUAUUUCUUCAGGCACUGUGUCUUCCAGGUCUAAUCCCUUGAAUCUAUUUGUCACUUCCACUGUAUAAUCAUAAGGGAUUUGAUUUCGGUCAUACCUGAAUGGCCUAGUGGUUUUCCUUAGUUUCUUCAGUAUCAUCUUUAGUUAAAGACAAAAAAAGCAUGUUGGGAGUAGGGGUUUGGGACCUCAAAGGGGAAGAGGGUAGUGGACAUGGAGAUGGAAAAGCAAAUGUUUGCUGGGCAAGGCAGAGACAAUGGGACACAGAGACAAUGGGACACGCUUCAUCUUUAAGAGUUUCUCCCACCACACCUAGGCCAUAUUCUUUCCAGAUAUCUCUGAUGAUAGCUAUAUUCCUCAAACAGGCUCACUAUCUAAAUUUUUCAGGUAGUUAGGGAUAUGGCCAAAAUGUCUUCCUGAAACUUGACAGUUUUCAGCUAGAAAUAGUCUGCAUAGUACGAAACAUCUGGGUAUGGCAAGUUCUGCUCCCUGAAUCCUUGCUCGCAAAUGAAAGUGUUCAGCUCACAAAUGAAAAUGUUCAGCUAUUUGUCAUUUGAUUCCAUUUAUACUCCAGGCUCCUUCAGCUGAAUCCACAGUACCUACCAGACCUGCUAUGAUUGCCAUGUUUGGUCAGUGAGGCCCCAGAAAACUUUGUCUAUCUGGCACCUAGACUCGACUACUGAUGGCUCCAGCUAGAACAGUUAAGGUUCACAACCAUUUCUGCACAACCCCGUCUCCUGACCAUGAUGACAACAACCAGAGCCCCAGAGUACUCUUUUAGCAAUGGGUCAGUUAAAAGACCCAGGACUGCACACCAGGCACUAUAUUGGAAAGUUCCAGUACUGGAGAUGCAAGGCACAAUCUUGGACCUCAGGGAACACAUAAUGCAACUACAUUAUGAUGGGUAAAGUGGUAACAUAGGGCCAGGAUGUUGAGUCCAGAUUUCUUUCUAGGAAAAGCAUUAAUAACAUUUACACUGAAACCCAAAGAUAAGGAGGGUUUAGGUAAGAAAGGGUGGCUCAGCUGGUAAAGAAUUGCCUGUAAUGCAGGAGACACAGGUUUGAUCUCUGGGUUGGGAAGAUGCCCUGGAGAAAGGAAUGGCUACCGGCUCCAGUAUUCUUGCCUGGAGAAUUUCAUGGACAGAACUUGGUGGGCUACAGAACAUGGGUUUGCCAAGAGUUGGACAUGACUGCAUGACUAACAUACUAAGGUAAGAAAAAUCAGAACCUAGAAGAAAGAAGAAAAGAAGAUGGAGUGGCAAUGGCAUUUAGAAACACAGAUGGAAAAGGGCAAACCAAUCCUCAUGUGGGUUUGUGGUCUAAAAUCAGGUCAUCCAAAUAGGCCGAAAAAUCAUUUAGCCAAGAAUUUAGCUUAAGUUGGUUCUGGCUGGUAGAUUCCUCUAGACCUAUGGCAGAAGCAAAUUCAAAUCCUCCUUGAUCUUGUUUUCAAACUAGGUAUCAUAUAAUUUAUACUGAUAAAGUUCUAGAAAAAGAGCUUAUAAUAAAAAUAACACACCUAUACUGACACAUAUGGAAAUGAGGCAUAAUGAAUGUGAACCAGCAAGAAGAUCAGUAUCUGACCUGAAAAUUUUCAAAUACUGAAAUUAUUAAACACCCAACAAAAAACAAGUAUGUUUAACACACUUCAAGAAAUAGAAAAGAUUACAGUGCAAAUGAAGAGUAAAAGACUAUAAAAUAAGAUGGAUUAUAUUAACAAAAAAUUCUGGAUAUCAAACUACAAUGGUCAGCAUAAAAAUGCAUAAUGAAUAGGUUUAACAGUAGGUUAGGCACAGUUAAAGGAGAGAAAUAGUGAACUCCAGAUAGAUCUGCAAAACUUACCUAGAAUAUGACACAGAAUCAAAGAAAUGGAAAAUCUGAUAGAGGUAAGAUAAGUUAAGAAAUCACAUCAAGUGAGAAGUUGCAAAAGAGAAGAGGGGGGUGGGGCAGAAGCAAUACUUGAAUAGGUAAUGGUUGAGAAUUUUCCAAAAGAGGUAAAAGCAAUCAUUCUACAGCUUUGUGAAUUCUUACAAAAAUAAUAUUAAUUCAGAACCUACAUCCUACACAUCAUAGAGAAACACAAAAGGCAAAGAGAGGGUUUUAAACAGAUCCAGGUUAAGAAAAGAAUACACCUCAAAGGAAUGGCAAAUAAACUGAUUACAGACUUCGCAUAGAAACAAUGGAAGUUUGAAAACAGUGGGGAGGUAUUUCCCUGCACUGGGACAAAAACUUGUUGACUUGAAAUUGUGUGCCCUUCAAAGAUAUCUUUCCAGAAUGAAAAGAAAAUGUAGAUGUUUUCAAAGAACUGAGCAUGUUUCUCCACAACACACUCUAAUUUUGCGGAUUCUAAAGGGUGCACUUCAGACUGACGGACUGUGAUCACAAAUGGAAGGGCAGCAUGAAGGGAAAAAUCAUGACCAGAAGAUGGUAUAAAUAUGUAGGUGAGUUUAACAGUUUCUGGUGGCAUAAAACAAUGAUUAGAAUAUGUCACAAGGUUUAAAAAAGAGGUAACAUUCAUGCCAGCAAUAGCAUAGAAAUAAGGAGAACAGGAAGUCAACAUCUCAGAAAGAAUGUUUGUCUGAGAGGAAGUUAUAGAGUAACCCAUGUGAUAUUACAUCUUUUAAUUAAGCUUUAAGAGUUUGCCAAGUAAUACGGUGCAUUGCGGAUGGUUACAUACCCCAUAUAGUACAAGUACAAAGCACUCAUGAAUAGCAUGUGUCCAUGUUCAGACGCUAAGUCAUGCCCAACUCUUUGUGACCCCAUGGACUGUAGCAGGCUUCUCUGGCCAUGGAAUUUCCCAGGCAAGAAUACUGGAGUGGGUUGUCAUUUCCUUCUCCAGGGGAUCUCCCCCACCCAGGGAUGGAACCUGCUGUCUCCUUCAUCUCCUGCAUUCGCAGGCAGAUUGUUAACCACUGAGUCACCUGGGAAGCCCCUAUGAAUUUGAGUUACACACCAAUUUAAUGGUUGUAGUUAGCUAUUAGGAGAUAUCAGAGAGGAGGACAGAAGACAUUUCAGUUGUCACUAUAAUUUUUUUAUUCUGGAAAUACAAAUAUAUCUGAAACAAAUAUAGACAAGUUUAAGAUGUGUCCAAUCUAGGUAGUAGGUAUACAGAUAUUCUUGUACAUUAGAAAUAUUGUAAUAAGCAGAUUAUUUUGAAGUCAACAUGACUGAAAAGGAAAGUUUACAGGGUAUUAAUUGGAGGUUAUGGUGGCUAGAAGGAGUCCCUGUUCUUCUUUUAAAGUAAAUCUGGAAGAGAAUUCAGCUUGUUGCCGUGCCACCAGGACAGAGCCAGCGAAGAGAACAGCUGAUCGGCCUGGGCCCCAGGAUUCAGCCUGCGCAGGAGAAGGAGUCCUCCUCUCCUGCUGGGAUGUGUGUGGGAGGAAACCAGGCGCAUUUCUGAGUUUUGCACAAGAGAGUUGAAGGUAUUCCUAUCUGAUUGCUUAGGUCAACUCUGCAUGAAUUCGUCUGCUGAGACGGGGAGAGCAGAUGUUUGAGGAGCCUGAACAGAGCCUUGAAUACUGAUGGAAAGGUGCCACAGCUGUGUUUUGGCAAAGUGGGAGGGAACACCCGCCAUCAGUUUGUGGAAUGUGCUUUCUGUAUACCAAAGCCAUGUCUCUCCUUUUCUCACCCCGUUAAAAGGGUUUCAGUGAAUUCUUCCGGCGGUUCCACAGCAUUUAGGUUUGAACCUGAGAGGCCAGGUGGGGAGACAGUCUGCUCUAAUCCACCUGUGUCAGUACGUCACCCUUUUCCCUCAACUUAGGGCACAAUCUGUGCUUCUUAGACUUAGCUGGAGAUCUUGUUAAAACACAGACUCCAAGUCAGUGAGUCAGGAAUGGGACCUGACCUGCAUUAAGUUUGCAAGUGAUGCUGCUGCUGCUGAUUGAUAGACCACACUUUGAGCAGAAAACUAGCCUGGCUCUGGCUCAUUUGGGUCCUUGUUAAACAUUUCUUGCAUCUUCUUGAUCUGGACCUCCACCGCCAUGCCCCUGGAGCUCGAUUGUGGUUUUAUCUCCACCUCUGCAUAUGGGUGAUCCACAGGAGUUUGCUCCUAAGGCUGCCCUGGAGGACUUGGGUCUGCUUCAGUGAGGACUAGGCAUGCAGCUGGCACAGCAGCUUGGAUCAUGGGGACCACAGCAGCGCAAGGGGAUUGUCCUUCCUUCAAGUUCAGCCUAUGAAGUUUGGAUGCAUCUGAGAUCUUCUUCACCCAAGCUCCAUGGACUAAUCCUGAGCAAUCAGAAUCUGCUCCCCCCCAACUUCUGGCUCCUGCUCCAAAUGGCUAUGGAUUUGGGGAUGGAUGGUUUUUCAUAAUUCAACAGGAUCCAGUCAGAGCAAGCAAAUUCUGGGAUAUUUGCUAUAAGCACAGGUUGUCCACCAAGAAGAGUGCUGGACCCAAGUGUGAGACGUGGAUCUGAAUUCAUGAGUGAAGAGCUCAACAGACAGCCAGUCUCAGAGCCCACGGCUCUCAGUGGAGAGCACAGGGACUCAAGAAGGAGUGCUAAGCCCAACAGCACUGAGGGACAGAGGUCCCCUUCCUCUUCUUGCUGGAGUUUAACAACUUGUGCUUAGUGAUACAUGGAUCCAGGCUGGUACCAUGAACCAGGCCACACAGAUAUAAGCAGCACUCCACAGAACAAGGACCUCUCCAGCCCCUGACAAAGGCGAUGUGUUAUUCCCAGCAGUGGGGCAGCUGCUCUGAGACACGCCAUCACCGGUUGCCCCGUGUGAGCCGUGGGCACAGUGACGGGGCUGUGAGUGAGAGGGGCUGGGCCCACGGCCUGGAGCUGAGGCCUCAGGAAGCCUCUCCUGUUGUCCAGCUGGCCUGUCAGGGGUGGCAUCUGCUCCAUCAGAGGUCAGGUUAAAGCACAAGGAAAGGGCUCUGUUUCAAAGGAAGGAAUCAGGAGCACUCUGCAUGCAUCCAGGGACCCUGGAGGAGCAAGGCUGGGAUAACCCAGGAAGCCAACAUGCAGGAGAGGCAGGACAGCAGGGCCAAAGGUGUGGAGGUGGACCUGUGAGAUGCUGGGGAGGGGAGAUGGAGGGAAAAUGACAUCCUUGUGUACCCAGGGGCCAGGCAUGGAUUCAGCGUUUUUGUAGAGAUUUCAUAAUAGUUCUAGGGAGCAGGUAUUUUUUCCUAGCCUAAUUGAGAUAUGAUUGGCAAAUAAAGAUUGUUUAUAUUUAAGGUAUGCAACAUGAUGUUGUGAUAUACAUUGUGAAAUGAUCACCGCAAUCAAGCCAAUUAACAUAUCCAUCACCUCACAUAGUUACCAUUUCGUGUGUGUGCGGUCAGGACACCUAUCUCAGCAGAUUUCCAGUAAGCAAUACAUCAUCAUUCACUGUCACAGUUUGCACGUGAGGACCUAUGCAGAGAGGAGCUCAGAGAGGCGAACCUGCCAAGGGCGCCCCUCGAGUGUCUGAUUCCAAAGACCCCUCCCCUCACUCACCCGCAGCAUUGGCCAGGAUGCUACCAUCCUCAUCCCUUCUUGGAGGAAAGGCCCUUUUGCUCCGGUUUACAUACAGCCAGUUGGAUUUUCCCUCAAAGUCAUCCCAGACCUGGGAAGCCUGUAGCCUGCAAGCUCAUCCUCAGUUAUACCAACGUGUUUCUUUCCCACUCUUAUAAAUUGCCCUCAGUAGAACAGGGCCUUUCUUUCUGAUCUAAACCCUGCUGCUGUAUUGAUUACUAUAAUUCAGCCCUAAUUGGACUUCUGCAAAGCCACAAGCUCAGACAGCGGGCUUCUUGGCCGCACAGCAUCCAUUAUUAAUGUGCCGGUGCUGGCCUUUACCCCACUCCCUGCUUUCACCUCAGGAGCUCUGGAAAACAGCCCGCUGAGUAAUGUGGCUUCCAUGUGUAUUUACCUCUUCAGGAUAUUUGUUUCCUCUUGAAGGAGAAGAGGGAUGCAAACCACACAAUUAGCAAACAGCUCUUUAAUUGCCUUUCUGCUGGCCCAAAGAUUGGUCUGGGUUAGGGAGGAUUCUCAAAUCCUCUCAACUCUAAGAUAUUGGGCUCUGUAAGUGGCAGAGUUGCAAGGGAGCCUCGGACUGGCCCGUGAGUCAGCCAGGUUCAAGAAGCCAGUAGGACAUACCCAGAAUCUGUACCUGGUCCCUGUUGGGUUGGCCAAAGGAGAAAGGUCACAAUGGGGCAAACAUGUAACACAACCAAAUUGAGGCAGAGAGGACCACAUUCUGUGGGCAGAAACAGAACAGACUCAUUAUUAGGACAGAUCUGGGAAGCUCACUUCCCAAUGAGAUCUUGGAGACAAGUGAAGUGUUUCAUGGCCCCCCAGGAGUGCAAAUGCCAGGAUGUAUGUCUGACAAACCCUGCUUAGUAGCUCGCCCAGGUACUGGUUCUGGUUAGACAGCCCUGGGCUGAGCCUCUCCACGUGGAGGCAGGCGUCGGUGCAAUGUGAGAGUCGGGUUACUGCUGUUCAGCUGCUUCAGGGGUUCAAGAAGGGCCACACUUCUUGUGCCUCCAAAGUCUGGGGCUCCUUCCCUGCCCACCAGAAGUCCAUGAAGCCAGGGGGCCACUGUGGAUCUGGUCGGGUUGGGGCUUCAGGGCAGUUGCAUGAGUUGCUCAGAUACUGAGAGGAACAGGGACAGGCUAGGAGUAGACUGAGCCCAACUCAUACUCUGGGGGUUGUUUGUUCUACAGACUAUACACCCACUCUUCCUUAAUACUGGCAGUCAGAAGACAGUCCCCAGGUCCACAGAACGACCACUCUUCAUUCUGCAUCACUCAGUCAUUUGACAAACCUUGAUUUCUGGCCUGGGCUUCCCAGGCGGCACAGUGGUAAAGAAUCCACUGGCCAGUGCAGAAGACACAAGAGACGCAAGUUCGAUUCCUGGGUCAGGAAGAUCCCCUUAAGUAUGAAAUGGCAACCCACUUCCAUAAUUUUGAUUGGGAAAUUCCGUGGAUAGAGGAGCCUGGUGGGUUCAAUGUAUGGGGUCCCAAAGAGUUGGACACUAUUGAGCAACUGAGUACACACACGUGCAAUUCCUGGCAUACUCUGGCAGAUUCUGGGGAAAUAACAGGUAACAUUGACAACAUUCGCCCUCUUGUAGUUUGCACGAGAGUGGGAAAGACAGACGCUGAACAGGUCAGCGAACACACAGACAAGGGCUUCUAUAGUUGGAGGGCUGGAAGACGACUAAAAGGGGAUUGUGCCAAGGGCCUAGAGGGCAGGUCUCCCCUAAACUCGUCUCGCAUCUUUAGGCACCUUGAGCAGGGAUAGUCCCAGGCUUCUGCUCUCUUUGACGGCUUGUUGCAGAGUCUGGGUCUGACCCUAGCUGGAAUUCCUGCAGUUUGCUCUCCAUAGGGAAGAUGGAGCAAGGGAUCAGACAGGCCCUGCGGAGGUCCCUUUCCUUCACUAACCUGGCAUAGGACUCUCAUUCCUUCUCACUCUGCAUGCCCUGGGCUUGUUUUGCAGUGCACACUGGUGCUCCUUGGGAAUGCAAUCUGUGCAGGCGGCCUCUGCCUUUCUUCAGUGCCCAAGAAGUACUUAGCAAGUGAAGAUGCGAUGAGAGAGGAGGGGACACUGGUGCAAAGAGAGGCUGGGGGCUGAAACCCUGUCUCUGCAAAGUGCUGCCUGCCAAGAUGAAUAGCUGUCUUCGCCCCUUCAUAGGGGCUGUGAACCGGUGCGUGACCCCUGCUGCAGGCAGCCUCAGACCCUCUCGUCUGCUGGCCUGCCUCUGCUAGGAGCCAGGACAGCUGUCUGCACUCUCUUCUCAAGCUACCCAGCUGGGGCCCUGGCCGCUUUGGCAGGGGUUGGCAGCUGAGUUCUUUGCACCUUUCUCUUCUUCUGCCUCCCUGUUCCUUCUCCUGGAGUGAAUGUCUGCCUGGGUCAAAAUGUGGAUCUCAAUCUCAGGGCCACAGGUGUGGGGCAGGGGUCUUCUGUUGGUUUCUGGAGAGUGAGGGGUGGCGUGCUCCUCCUGCCUCUUGCAUGGGCCCGCAUUUUGCUCUCAAUCAACUUCCAUGUUUGUUUUUGCAGAGUAGUCCUGAUUGUCAUGUCAGUUCAAAAUCUCCAAUUCUCUGUUAGAAAAAUGAGCUUCAUCUCCCUUCUAGUUUUGUUUCUCUUGGGGAGGGGCAUAGGGCAGAACUGGGAAGAAGUGAGCCCUUUCUCCCACUCUCCCCACCCCUGGGGCCCCCACCUUCCCUGCCUUCCCGCUGACCAGUUGCCUCCCCAGCCUUCCCUGCCGCCUUCACUCUCAGCGCUGGACGCCUCCACCCUCCGCGCUCCUCACUCAAGUUGGAACUGGUCCCCAGACCUGUCUGUCCUGCCUCUCACCAUCUUGCUCUCAGUGGGGCUGAGGCCAUUGGCUGCUGGCAUAGGCCAUGGGACCUGGUCCCUGGUACCACACCCCAGCCAGGGAACUGCCAGCUGUGUGCUUAGGCAAUUCUGUUAGCCUCCCUGUGCCCCUGUUUACCCAUCUGGAAAGCAGGGUAAUUCAAGAGGUGGUGAGGCUGAUGAGGUGAGGCAGAGCCUGGCGAGUGCGGGUGCUGCAUGGGUCAUUGGCCCGUCCUGCGCCCUCUGUCUCUGUCUCCGCUGCCCGCCCUCUCUCAGGCUCCUUUCCUUUGCCUGGACCAUCUCUGAGCCUCCCAACAGAUCACCUCCCACGUCACAUCCAUCCCCUUCACCUGGACAUUUUCCUUGCCACUUCCAGAGAGCCUGUCUUCCUACCACUUGAGACCUGCUGCUGGCUCCCACUGCCUGUAGGACAAAACCUCAAUCCUGCCUCCAGGCACCUGCGCCUCUCCCCAGCUUCCCCUGUGCGCAGCACCCUGACCCCAGAGAGCCUCCCAGGAUGCUGGGCUCCAGGGCCACGGGUGACUCUACCUUGCCUCGGCAUCAUCCGUGGGGAAGCCAGUGUCUGGUUCUUGACUUCUGUAGGUAAAUGCUGUGUGAUGAGUAAAACACACUUUCCUUUAAGUGUCACUGAGUGAACAAACUAAAUGAAAUUUAUGUACUUUGGAAGCAAAAAAAAAAAAACAACAACCCAAAACUGCAACAUUUUUGAUGCCAGAAAGAUUUUUCUACCUGAGCAGUUUGGAAAUCUCACGGGGCUUCCUGCUCACUCUCCUCCACAUGACUUGCCCUUCUGUGACCUGCCUCUCUCAUGCUGUUCUCAUUCUCAGAACGCUCUUCCUUCUUCUGCAGAUGAAUGUCUAGGCCCCUCUGAGGCCAUCACCUCCUCUCUGAAGGCUGUUCUCUUUCCACAGGCCUCCACACAAACCUAUGCAUGACUCCACAUUUGAGGAACAGGGCUUUGCAAUGACUAAACACCAUCUGAAACUGGUUUGUCUCCAUUUAAAACUAGCCUCCACUACCUACCAGCUGUGUGAGUUUCUUAACCUCUGUCUGUCUGUCCUCCCUAUUAGUAAUGGAGGCCUUAUGCCACAGGUGCUCUCAGAGGACUAAAUCUGUUCAUACAUUUAAUAUGCUUGUAUCUGUUCCUGGCAUAUUAGUACUAUUUAAGCUUUUGCCAUAUUAUUUAAAUAAGGUGUAUUUUGUGUGCUAGCUCUCUUUCCAGAAGGUUGAGAGACCUUGAGUGGCCAGGUCUCUUUGGCUGCUGGCUCUCUGCCUCUCUGGCUCCUAGGAUGGAGCUGUGUACAGUAAGCGUUGGGAGAGUGUUGGCUGGAGAUGCAGAGAAGGGUCCAGGCUCGGGUGCCACCAAUACUGGGGAGAGCUGGGCCCAGGCUUUGCUUCUGGGACCUGGUCUUGAUCUCAGGUUCGGUGUGUGAUCACAUGAGGCCCCAGGAGGAGCUGCCCAGGAUCUGGGCUUCUUGCCAGUGUGGACACUGAAAGCUGCUUCAAGUCUGAUCAAGAAAUCUUACCCAAGCACCCUGGGGCUCUGCUGGGGACACUCAUCACCUUUAGGACAAGGUCACCAAAGCGUGUGGUGUGGCCUGCAUGGUGCCCGGGGCUUGUGAAGGUUGCCUCUCACCGUCCAUUGCCUGUGAGGACCUGCAGAGUUUCUCCCUUGCCCCCCUCCCACCUAGGCAGUGGGCACUCGUGACUCCUUCAGAGGAGGGAGGCUCGAUCCCAGGGCCUCCAGUGUCCAUACCCUGUGGCGGAGGUUGUUCACCCACACUCAGAAACCAGGGGGGAACUGCGGAGGGUGAGGGGCUGUUUUCCACCUUCCAAGCACGUCUUUGAGCUCACUCCAGGGAAUCAGGGGCACAGGUGGCUGAGGACCAUGGCUCAGGCUCUGCAGGGGACAGGUGAGCAGGCGAGGGGCUGGGAGGAACGGCAGGACCUGGGGACCCUAGGGCCAUAGUGGUGGGAGGGUCUCCUCAGUCUCCCCUCCUGACGCACACACCUCCUCCUGAGGGAGCGGGCCUGGGCCUCCGCUCCCCUUCUGGACUGAGCGCGCGGGAGUCCGCUCUCUGCAGACAGGGUGAGUCUGGGUGAGCAAAGAUUCAGGGCCAGUGCCCAGCAAGGGGACCGAUGUCCCUGUUAAGUGAGGGAAUCUGGCAAAGCAGAAGGAACUGCUCUGUCAGCUGUGCAGAUGGUGAGGGAUGGGGAGACAGGGCCUAGAAGCCCUUGGCAGGUCAGUGCCAUGCCCUGUCCAGCAGAGGGAGGGAGUGAGUGAGUGAAGUCGCUCAGUCGUGUCUGACUCUUUG